UACGUAGGGUGCGAGCGUUAAUCGGAAUUACUGGGCGUAAAGCGUGCGCAGGCGGUUUUGUAAGCCAGAGGUGAAAUCCCCGGGCUUAACCUGGGAAUGGCAUUUGGGACUGCAAGGCUUGAGUGCGGCAGAGGAGACUGGAAUUCCUGGUGUAGCAGUGAAAUGCGUAGAUAUCAGGAGGAACACCGAUGGCGAAGGCAGGUCUCUGGGCUGACACUGACGCUCAUGCACGAAAGCGUGAGGAGCAAACAGG
rnacentral:rRNA from 1 species